UACAGAGGUCCCGAGCGUUGUUCGGAUUCACUGGGCGGAAAGGGUGCGUAGGUGGCUUGGAAAGUUUGAUGUGAAAGCUCAGGGCUUAACCCUGAAAUGGCAUUGAAUACUGCUGAGCUGGAGGUUUGGAGGGGGGACUGGAAUUCUUGGUGUAGCAGUGAAAUGCGUAGAUAUCAAGAGGAACACCAGUGGCGAAGGCGAGUCCCUGGACAACACCUGACACUGAGGCACGAAAGCUAGGGGAGCAAACAGG
rnacentral:rRNA from 1 species